GACAGAGGGUGCAAACGUUGUUCGGAAUUACUGGGCGUAAAGCGCGUGUAGGCGGCUGGGCAAGUCGGAUGUGAAAGCCCUGGGCUUAACCUAGGAAGUGCAUUCGAAACUGCCGAGCUGGAGUUCUGGAGAGGAAGGCGGAAUUCUCGGUGUAGAGGUGAAAUUCGUAGAUAUCGAGAGGAACACCAGAGGCGAAGGCGGCCCCCUGGCUCGUACCUGACGCUCAGCCACGAAAGCAUGGGGAGCGAACGGG
rnacentral:rRNA from 1 species